rnacentral:lncRNA from 1 species
GAUGAACUAGGCAGGUACUCUCCCUCAAGUACUUCCCAGCCCAGAAGGGGACAGGACCACACCUGAGGACUAUCCUAAAGAUCUGAACAGUGGAGACAGAAUGAAGAGAGCUUGCUUGGACAGCUUUAUGUAGCAGAGCUGGUACAAGUGACUUAGGCCUUGAAGGGACUCCUGAGCAUCAUUCAAGGAAUUCUCUGGUCUCUAAACCCAAGUCUAAAGGCAGCUGAUUUAUCUGAUUUAUCCCUGGGAGCCACACCCAGCACAGGGCCAAGCACAAACACAAGUAAGUGUGAAUGAGAACACUUGUGGAAGGAAUAGAGGAAUGAAAGGAUGAAAGGAGGAAUGGAAUGAUGGAAGAGAGGAAGGAUUAGAAGCCCAUACUCUCUUCUAUAGCUUCUCUCAACAGAAAAAC